rnacentral:rRNA from 1 species
GACGAACGCUGGCGGCGUGCUUAACACAUGCAAGUCGAACGGUGAAAGGGAGCUUGCUCCCUGGAUCAGUGGCGAACGGGUGAGUAACACGUGGGCAACCUGCCCCAGACUUCGGGAUAACGCUUCGAAAGAGGUGCUAAUACCGGAUACGAACUCCUUGGGCAUCCUUGGAGUUGGAAAGUUUUUCGGUCUGGGAUGGGCCCGCGGCCUAUCAGCUUGUUGGGGAGGUAACGGCUCACCAAGGCGACGACGGGUAGCCGGCCUGAGAGGGCGACCGGCCACACUGGGACUGAGACACGGCCCAGACUCCUACGGGAGGCAGCAGUGGGGAAUAUUGCGCAAUGGGCGAAAGCCUGACGCAGCAACGCCGCGUGAGGGAUGACGGCCUUCGGGUUGUAAACCUCUUUCAGCAGGGAAGAAGCGAAAGUGACGGUACCUGCAGAAGAAGCACCGGCUAACUACGUGCCAGCAGCCGCCGUAACAC